rnacentral:rRNA from 1 species
GGGGAAUAUUGGGCAAUGGGCGAAAGCCUGACCCAGCAACGCCGCGUGAAGGAAGAAGGUUUUCGGAUUGUAAACUUCUGUCCUCAGGGAAGAAGGAAGUGACGGUACCUGAGGAGGAAGCCCCGGCUAACUACGUGCCAGCAGCCGCGGUAAUACGUAGGGGGCGAGCGUUGUCCGGAAUGACUGGGAGUAAAGGGCGCGUAGACGGUUUUUUAAGUCUGGAGUGAAAGUCCUGCUUUCAAGGUGGGAAUUGCUUUGGGGACUGGAAGGCUUGAGUGCGGAAGAGGUAAGUGGAAUUCCCAGUGUAGCGGUGAAAUGCGUAGAGAUUGGGAAGAACACCAGUGGCGAAGGCGACUUACUGGGCCGUAACUGACGUUGAUGCGCGAAAGCGUGGGGAGCGAAC